rnacentral:lncRNA from 1 species
CAGAAACUCUGAGGGUGGAGUCCAGCCACAUGCGUGCGGGUGAACAUACAGCCUAACUUGGGAGCACCAUCGCUAUGCCUCGGGAUACCGAUAACAGACUGGCCCACCGGCGGCAGACGAUUCUCCGUGAGAAGGGGAGAAGGUUAGCUAACCGAGGACCCGCAUACAUGUUUAACGAUCGCUCAACAAGCUUAUCUAUUGAGGAGGAACGUUUUUUAGAUGCUGCUGAAUAUGGCAACGUCCCGGUGGUGAGGAAGAUGUUGGAAGAAUGUCUCUCCCUCAAUGUUAACUGUGUGGAUUACAUGGGCCAGAAUGCCCUGCAGUUGGCCGUAGCCAACGAGCAUCUGGAAGUUACAGAACUUCUUCUCAAGAAAGAAAACCUCUCUCGUGUUGGGGAUGCUUUGCUUCUAGCUAUUAGUAAAGGUUAUGUUCGGAUUGUGGAAGCUAUUCUCAGUCAUCCAGCUUUUGCUGAAGGCAAGAGGUUAGCAACCAGCCCUAGCCAGUCUGAACUGCAGCAAGACGAUUUUUAUGCCUAUGAUGAAGAUGGAACACGGUUCUCUCACGAUGUGACUCCGAUCAUUCUGGCCGCCCACUGCCAGGAAUACGAAAUCGUGCAUACCCUCCUGCGGAAGGGUGCUCGGAUUGAGCGGCCUCAUGACUAUUUCUGCAAGUGCAGUGAGUGCAGCCAGAAACAGAAGCAUGACUCCUUCAGUCACUCCAGAUCUAGGAUUAAUGCCUACAAGGGCCUGGCAAGUCCAGCUUACCUGUCACUGUCUAGUGAAGACCCAGUCAUGACAGCGUUAGAACUCAGCAACGAGCUGGCCAUGCUGGCCAACAUCGAGAAAGAGUUCAAGAAUGACUACAAAAAACUGUCAAUGCAGUGCAAGGAUUUUGUGGUUGGACUCCUUGAUCUGUGCAGAAAUACCGAAGAAGUGGAGGCCAUUCUCAAUGGGGACAUCGAAGUGCGUCACAGUGGGGGAGAUCACGGCCGUCCAAAUCUCAGCCGUUUAAAACUUGCCAUUAAAUAUGAAGUUAAAAAAAUGGCGAAGAUUAUGCGCGGACCAUUCAUGAAGUUUGUGGCGCACGCUGCUUCCUUCACCAUUUUUCUGGGACUGCUAGUCAUGAAUGCAGCUGACAGAUUUGAAGGCACCAAACUCCUUCCUAAUGAAACCAGCACAGAUAAUGCAAAACAGCUGUUCAGGAUGAAAACGUCCUGCUUCUCAUGGAUGGAGAUGCUCAUUAUAUCCUGGGUAAUAGGCAUGAUAUGGGCUGAAUGUAAAGAAAUUUGGACGGAAGGCCCCAAGGAGUACUUGUUUGAGUUGUGGAACAUGCUGGACUUUGGUAUGUUGGCGAUCUUCGCUGCAUCGUUCAUUGCGAGGUUCAUGGCAUUUUGGCAUGCUUCCAAAGCCCAGCACAUCAUUGAUGCAAAUGAUACUUUGAAGGACUUGACCAAAGUCACACUGGGAGACAAUGUGAAGUAUUACAAUUUGGCCAGGAUAAAAUGGGACCCCUCUGAUCCUCAAAUUAUAUCUGAAGGUCUUUAUGCAAUUGCUGUAGUUCUAAGUUUCUCAAGAAUAGCUUAUAUUUUACCAGCCAAUGAAAGCUUUGGACCUCUGCAGAUAUCACUUGGAAGAACAGUGAAGGACAUCUUCAAGUUCAUGGUCAUAUUCAUCAUGGUGUUUGUGGCCUUUAUGAUUGGAAUGUUCAACCUCUACUCCUACUACAUUGGUGCAAAACAAAAUGAAGCCUUCACAACAGUUGAGGAGAGUUUUAAGACAUUGUUCUGGGCUAUAUUUGGACUUUCUGAAGUGAAGUCAGUGGUCAUCAACUAUAAUCACAAAUUCAUUGAAAACAUCGGUUAUGUUCUCUAUGGAGUCUAUAAUGUUACAAUGGUCAUUGUCUUGCUAAAUAUGUUAAUAGCAAUGAUCAACAGUUCAUUCCAGGAAAUCGAGGAUGAUGCUGAUGUGGAGUGGAAAUUUGCAAGGGCCAAACUUUGGUUUUCCUACUUUGAAGAGGGAAGAACCUUACCUGUUCCCUUCAACCUGGUGCCAAGUCCAAAGUCCCUGUUUUAUCUCUUAGCGAGGCUUAAAAAAUGGAUUUCCGAGAUGUUCCAGGCCCAUAAAAAAGGUUCCCAGGAGGAUGCAGAGAUGAACAAGAGAAAUGAAGAAAAGAAAUUUGGAAUUUUGGGAAGUCAUGAAGACCUUUCAAAAUUAUCACUUGACAAAAAACAGCUUGGGCAUAGUAAACAAUCAAGUGUAAGGAGCUCAGAAGAUUUCCAGUUAAGUAGUUUCAAUAAUCCUCCAGGAAAGUAUCAGAAAAUUAUGAAGAGGCUCAUUAAAAGAUACGUCCUACAAGCCCAGAUAGAUCGGGAGAGUGAUGAUGUGAACGAAGGGGAACUGAAGGAAAUUAAACAGGACAUCUCAAGCCUCCGCUAUGAACUCCUUGAAGAGAAAACUCAGAAUUCAGAAGACCUAGCAGAACUUAUUAGAAAACUUGGGGAGAAAUUAUCAAUGGAACCAAAGCAAGAGGAAGUCAAUAGAUAAUACAAAGACUUCCAUUAAAAAUCCUAUUUAUUUGUUCACUUGAAGCCAUAUUAUUUUCCAGUUUAUUUUUUAAGUGCCAUUGUGACCAUCUUUUAAACAGGAGAAUGUCCAAAGAUAACUUGGGUCAUCCCAUUAUCCAAAACCGAAAUAUUUAAUUUUUUAGUGAUUAAACUUCAUUGUUCAGACUAAAGUUUACAGAUUAUGAUGAAAAUUAUGCCCAGUUGUUUGAUGUUUCCUUGGCUACAACUAUCAUGACAAUGUGAUUGCAUCUAGUGUCUGCCUGGGGAUUGUCUAGGCUGGUUGGAGGCUGACACAGCUCACUGUCCGUGCGGUCUUUACCAUGAACGUGAUUUCAGGUAACUGUUUGCCUGCCUUGUGGGUCCCCUGAUGGUGACUUCCAGCCCUGAAAUCCAGGGACAGAUAACCUGUAGCUAUUUGGAAAAUGCUGUUUAAUCAUCUAUUCUGCAAAGCCCCACAGAAUAUGAUUGUGCAAAGUUGGGUUAAAUCAUACCUAAAUUUGCCAAUUCACCUCUUUGAAAAUGUUACACUUAACAGUGAAAAAGUGCUUCCUCUACUGAGCCCUGAAAACAUGGUUUAGUUGUGGGUGGGUGUGCACGUGCACAUGUGUGUAUGAAAUGAUUGUCCUGUUUUCUUUUGUAGCCAAAAUGGACUCUUAAAACCUCUUUCUCUUUUGAGUUUUACUGUGACUGAAAAAUUGUUGAUUAAAUAUGAACCCUUUAUUGGAGAAAUAUCAAAGUCACAAAUGAUUCAAUUAUUUGGUCCAAAAUUUUAUGCCAUUUCUGAGGCAUUUACAGGAAAAUCCCACAUUUGGCAUUGAGUAUAAAGGAAACUGUGGAAGGAAACUGCAAAUAUUUAUCUUUAUUCUCAGUGCACUCUACCUUCUCUGAAAAUACAUGAAGCAGGGAUCUGUGUUUGUAGGCAUCUAUGUAGGCUGCUCUUACUGAUGAUGUGAGGCUAUAUCUAGGACAAUUAAAAGAAAGAGAUGAAAGUUCAUGUGUUCAGCUACACAGACGACAAACAUUGAAAUGAUGUUUGGCAUUGACUGUAGUGUUUCUUUAAAUUCAGUAAAGAGAGGUUUCAAAUGCAAAUUUUUUACUCCAUGUUAGAGAGAAAAUAGUCACAAAAAUCUAGUUAGCCCCAACUUUGACUUCAUUUAAGUCAAAGUGAUUUUAUGUAACCAGAUAAGAAAAUACAACUGAAAUUUUACAUUCAGUGAUUUUGUAUGUGUGGGUAUUAUUUAUUGAGAAGUUAUUUAGUAAUACAGAAAAGGUAGGCUUUCAAAUGUUUUGUGACAAUUUUUAAAUCAGAAGUUGUAAAAUCAGCCUCAUAGCAAAUGCACUAUCAGCAAAGGAAAAUAAUCUUACAUCCACAAAGCUUCUGUGUUGUGCCAUGAAAGAGAUUGGCCUCUAUGCCAAGGGGUGUCCUGUGACAGCAAAUGGACUUGACUUCAAAGAAUCUAGAAAAAAUAUUCAGAUUCCUCAGUGUCUUUUAAGUCGGGUUGACCUGACAAGAUAUAGGUUUUGGGACCUACAAAAGGAAUGGCUGUGGCCUUCUCAGUCAAAGGCACGACCAUCAAGAGCUACCUCUAUGACUGUUUCAAACUAGUAGGUCCUGAAGUCAGCAGAUCUCCUCAAAGUACAAAUGAAUUGGCACCUCUUCCAAUUUCCUUUCAAUUGGAACAUGAAAAGAAACCAACCACAUUUUAAGAAAGGUUUUAAAAUUCCAACAAGAGCUUAAUUAAAGGCAUAUUGUCAAAGGAUGGUUGCGAGCAUGACUGUCCUGCACAAGUCUCAAGGCCGUUGGCUUAAAAUCCUGCGCUCAUGUUGCAGUCAGCUUAACCUAUAAAAAUAAAAUGAUUAAUCAGAUGAAAUGAAUUUGUCCA